AUACGGAGGGGGCAAGCGUUGUUCGGAAUUACUGGGCGUAAAGGGCUCGCAGGCGGGUUUGUCAGUCAGGCGUGAAAUCCCCGGGCUCAACCCGGGAACUGCGUUUGAUACUGCGAAACUAGAGAUCGGGAGAGGGUAGUGGAAUUCCCAGUGUAGAGGUGAAAUUCGUAGAUAUUGGGAAGAACACCAGUGGCGAAGGCGGCUACCUGGACCGAUACUGACGCUGAGACGCGAAAGCGUGGGGAGCAAACAGGAUUAGAAACCCCAGUAGUCC
rnacentral:rRNA from 1 species